rnacentral:lncRNA from 1 species
CAGAGGGAAAUUUUAAGGUGGAACUGACUUUCACUUGGCCAAGGAAGAUUUGAGGUGCUUCUCCUUGGGGCUCCCAAAUGUAGACAUAUCUGCCUAGCCUCUGUUGCUAGUUUCACGAAGGUAUAUAUUCCCUGGGUGUUAUCACCCUACAGUUAUAGGAUAAGUUUAAAAAAAAAAAGAGUAAAUCAUGUUGCCUACUCCAUGCCAGGGGUUUUGCAAAUGUCUGAACUCGUGAAAACCCCCAUAAGGACGAGCAUUAGAAUUCUAAAGAAACAAAGGCUUCAAGAGUCAAGAACAAGGGUUGGAGAGCUGCCAAUGCACCCCUGUCCCAGAAGACGGAAGCUGGGCUUAGCAUGA